GAGAGUGGGCGGCAGGAGUACUUCCGGGUGACGGAGGUCGGGCCCGGCAAGAUGGCGGCCCCCUUGGAGCUGAGCUGCUGGGGAGGCGGCUGGGGGCUCCCUUCGGUCCACAGCGAGUCCCUGGUGGUGUUGGCUUAUGCCAAGUUCUCUGGCGCGCCCUUGAAAGUCAGUGUUAUAGAUAACACCUGGAGAGGUCCCAGAGGUGAUGUGCCAAUUUUGACAACUGAAGACAGCAUUGUUUCUCAGCCUGCAAAAAUACUAAACUUUUUAAGAAAACAGAAAUAUAAUGCUGACUGUGAACUCUCAGCAAAACAAGGGGCAGAUACCCUGGCUUACAUUGCCCUCCUAGAAGAGAAGCUUCUCCCUGCCGUGCUUCACACUUUCUGGGUUGAGAACGACAAUUACUUUGCUGUGACAAAGCCAUGGUUUGCCUCCCGUAUCCCGUUCCCUCUAAGUUUGAUCCUGCCUGGAAGGAUGUCUAGAGGGGCCCUGAACAGGAUUCUCUUGACAAGGGGAAACCCACCCCUCUACCACCUCCAGGAGGUGGAAGCCCAGAUAUACAGAGAUGCCAAGGAGUGCCUGAAUCUCCUGUCAAACAGAUUGGGAACAUCUCAGUUUUUCUUUGGCGACACGCCUUGCACCUUGGACGCCUACGUGUUUGGCUUUCUUGCACCACUUUAUAAAGUGCGGUUUCCCAAAGUUCACUUGCAGGAGCAUCUGAAACAGCUUUCCAACCUGUGCCGCCUCUGUGACGACAUCCUCCACUGCUACUUUAGGCGGGGUCCUGGGGAUUCUGGUUCCUAGCUUCAAGACCUGGUGGUUUCCCCAUUCUGUCUGCCGCCAUGUUCUUAUUUCCAUGGAGAAAGAGACCUCUGACCUUCACCAUCCUCUGGACUUGACAUGUUCGUGACUCUUCUUGGAAAGUACUGCCCCCCCCCCCAAGUGAGUCGUUUUCCUCUAAAAGAUUAGAGCCCAUGUGUAGAGUCCCUGCUAAAAAGUAGUGUUUAUCUUCAUGCAAACAGGCAGUCACUCUAAAUGAUUCUUACCUGCUGCUUCCAGCAUUUUCCUUCAUGAACAGAAAACAGUAGCAGAUUGACUUUGGUGAGGUACACUCCCAUGAUUCUCCUUGAAAACUGAUUACACCAAACUGGAGAUAGAGCAUCUCUCCAGCUGGACAAGAAAUGAUAGACGCCAACCUGCAGAAACUCACCCAACUUGUAAAUAAGGAGUCCAACCUAAUUGAAAAGAUGGAUGACAACCUCCGCCAGAGCCCUCAACUUCUUCCCCGGAAGCUGCCCAC